rnacentral:lncRNA from 1 species
AAAAAAUACAAAAAUAUUUUCCUAACCUAUUUGAAUGAUGAUGGAUCUAUGAAAAAUAUUCUCAUCAAUUUUUUAAUUUGAUUUGAGAUUUAUUUGAGAUUUUAGUUCAAUUAGGUUAUUUUUAUUCAUUUUUGUCAAACUUUGUUUGACCUUGUUGAACUAGGGAUAAAUCACUUGGACCUUUCAAGGUUGAUUUGAAGUGAUUUUGAAGUUUGACCUUUAUUUUAUUUUAAUUCAAGUUUAUUUUUAAUAUUAAAAAUGCCAAAAAAUAUUUUGC